UAGGGAAUCUUCGGCAAUGGACGAAAGUCUGACCGAGCAACGCCGCGUGAGUGAAGAAGGUUUUCGGAUCGUAAAACUCUGUUGUUAGAGAAGAACAAGGACGUUAGUAACUGAACGUCCCCUGACGGUAUCUAACCAGAAAGCCACGGCUAACUACGUGCCAGCAGCCGCGGUAAUACGUAGGUGGCAAGCGUUGUCCGGAUUUAUUGGGCGUAAAGCGAGCGCAGGCGGUUUCUUAAGUCUGAUGUGAAAGCCCCCGGCUCAACCGGGGAGGGUCAUUGGAACUGGGAGACUUGAGUGCAGAAGAGGAGAGUGGAAUUCCAUGUGUAGCGGUGAAAUGCGUAGAUAUAUGGAGGAACACCAGUGGCGAAGGCGGCUCUCUGGUCUGUAACUGACGCUGAGGCUCGAAAGCGUGGGGAGCAAACAGG
rnacentral:rRNA from 2 species